GAUGAACGCUAGCGAUAGGCUUAACACAUGCAAGUCGAGGGGCAUCGAGGGUAGCAAUACCUGUCGGCGACCGGCGCACGGGUGAGUAACGCCUUAUGUAACCUGCCCGCAACAGAGGGAUAACCUGGCGAAAGUCGGACUAAUACCUCAUAAACUAGGGGUUCCGCAUGGGGCUAUUUGUUAAAGAUUUAUUGGUUGCGGAUGGGCAUGCGUACCAUUAGGUAGUUGGUGAGGUAACGGCUCACCAAGCCAUCGAUGGUUAGGGGUUCUGAGAGGAAGGUCCCCCACACUGGUACUGAGACACGGACCAGACUCCUACGGGAGGCAGCAGUGAGGAAUAUUGGUCAAUGGGCGAGAGCCUGAACCAGCCAAGUCGCGUGAAGGAUGACUGCCCUAUGGGUUGUAAACUUCUUUUACAGGGGAAUAAAAUGAGAUAC
rnacentral:rRNA from 1 species